UGGCUCAGAGGGUAAAGAAUCUGCCUGCAAUGCAGGAGAACCAGGUUCAAUUCCUGG
rnacentral:tRNA from 1 species